rnacentral:rRNA from 1 species
AGACCCGAAACCCGGUGAUCUAGCCAUGGGCAGGUUGAAGGUUGGGUAACACUAACUGGAGGACCGAACCGACUAAUGUUGAAAAAUUAGCGGAUGACCUGUGGCUGGGGGUGAAAGGCCAAUCAAACCGGGAGAUAGCUGGUUCUCCCCGAAAGCUAUUUAGGUAGCGCCUCGUGAAUUCAUCUCCGGGGGUAGAGCACUGUUUCGGCUAGGGGGCCAUCCCGGCUUACCAACCCGAUGCAAACUGCGAAUACCGGAGAAUGUUAUCACGGGAGACACACGGCGGGUGCUAACGUCCGUCGUGAAGAGGGAAACAACCCAGACCGCCAGCUAAGGUCCCAAAGUCAUGGUUAAGUGGGAAACGAUGUGGGAAGGCCCAGACAGCCAGGAUGUUGGCUUAGAAGCAGCCAUCAUUUAAAGAAAGCGUAAUAGCUCACUGGUCGAGUCGGCCUGCGCGGAAGAUGUAACGGGGCUAAACCAUGCACCGAAGCUGCGGCAGCGACACUCAGGUGUUGUUGGGUAGGGGAGCGUUCUGUAAGCCUGCGAAGGUGGCCUGUGA